rnacentral:lncRNA from 10 species
CCUCCCUCUCUCCCCCACCCUCUCUCUUCUCUCUCUCCCUCCAAGUCUGGCACUGAACGCGAACUGUUUUGCUUUGCUCCGGGAAGAGUGCAGACACAUAACGUGAAAUCCCGAGCUUUUUGCGUGGUGCAUUUAAAAUGCUUCCUUAUUUAUAUUACCCUCAUUCCCUCACCACCCCCCACCCCCUCACCAGUCCUUCCAAAUUUCCCUAGAAAUCUAUGUAAAGCAUGCGGAGGGGAAAACAUUUGCACAAAAAGUGAAGGAGCUCGCCAAGGUGGUCAGACCUGUCCUGACACCCAGAGGUCUGCAUGA